rnacentral:rRNA from 1 species
UACGUAGGGGGCAAGCGUUGUCCGGAUUUAUUGGGCGUAAAGAGCGUGUAGGCGGCUUUACAGGUCCGUUGUGAAAACUCGAGGCUCAACCUCGAGACGCCGGUGGAAACCGUAAGGCUAGAGUCCGGAAGAGGAGAGUGGAAUUCCUGGUGUAGCGGUGGAAUGCGUAGAGAUCCGGAAGAACACCGGUGGCGAAGGCGGUCUGCUGGGCAGUAGCUGACACUGAGGCGCGACAGCGUGGGGAGCAAACAGG